AACGAACGCUGGCGGCGUGCCUAACACAUGCAAGUCGAACGCGAAAGUGGUUUUCGGACCGCGAGUAGAGUGGCGCACGGGUGAGUAACGCGUAGAUAAUCUACCCCUGUGUCUGGGAUAACAUCGCGAAAGUGGUGCUAAUACCGGAUACGCUUUUUUGACCGCGAGGUUAAAAGAGUAAAGAUGCCCUCUGAUUCAAGGUAUCGCAUGGGGAUGAGUCUGCGUACCAUUAGCUAGUAGGUGGGGUAACGGCCUACCUAGGCUGCGAUGGUUAGCGGGUCUGAGAGGAUGAUCCGCCACACUGGAACUGGAACACGGACCAGACUCCUACGGGAGGCAGCAGUGAGGAAUUUUGCGCAAUGGGGGAAACCCUGACGCAGCGACGCCGCGUGGGUGAGGAAGGUCUUCGGAUCGUAAAGCCCUGUCGGGUGGGAAGAAGUGUGCAACGGUUAAUACCCGUUGCAUUUGACGGUACCACCAAAGGAAGCACCGGCUAACUCCGUGCCAGCAGCCGCGGUAAUACGGAGGGUGCAAGCGUUGUUCGGAAUUACUGGGCGUAAAGGGCGCGUAGGCGGCCAAUCAAGUCAGUUGUGAAAUCCCACGGCUCAACCGUGGAGGUGCAAUUGAAACUGGUUGGC
rnacentral:rRNA from 1 species